CAAAGGUAGCAUAAUCAUUUGUCUAUUAAUUGUAGACCUGCAUGAAAGGCAAUAUGAGGGUCUAACUGUCUCUUAUAAUAAAUCAAUUAAACUGAUCUUCUAGUAAAAAAGCUAGAAUCCCACCAUAAGACCAGAAGACCCUGUGAAGCUUAAACUAAACUAUUAAAACAAAUAAUAGCUAAUUUCGGUUGGGGCGACCUUGGAAAAAAGAAGAACUUCCAAUAUACCAAUAACCAAACCACUCAGGCCUACAAGCCACACUAAUGACCCAGCAGAGCUGAUCAUUGAACCAAGUUACUCCAGGGAUAACAGCGCUAUCUUCUUCAAGAGCCCAUAUCAAAAAGAAGGUUUACGACCUCGAUGUUGGAU
rnacentral:rRNA from 1 species